rnacentral:rRNA from 1 species
AGAGUUUGAUCCUGGCUCAGAUUGAACGCUGGCGGUAGGCUUAACACAUGCAAGUCGUGCGAGAAAGUAUCUUCGGAUAUGAGUAGAGCGGCGGACGGGUGAGUAACGCGUAGGAAUCUACCUAGUAGAAGGGGAUAGCCCGAGGAAACUCGGAUUAAUACCGUAUACCUCCUUCGGGAGAAAGAAGGCCUCUCUUUGAAGCUUUCGCUACUAGAUGAGCCUGCGUAAGAUUAGCUUGUUGGUGAGGUAAAGGCUCACCAAGGCUACGAUCUUUAGCGGGUCUGAGAGGACGAUCCGCCACAUUGGGACUGAGACACGGCCCAGACUCCUACGGGAGGCAGCAGUGGGGAAUAUUGGACAAUGGGCGAAAGCCUGAUCCAGCCAUACCGCGUGUGUGAAGAAGGCCCUAGGGUUGUAAAGCACUUUAAGUUGGGAAGAAAAGUUAUUGGUUAAUACCCAAUGACCGUGACAUUACCAUCAGAAUAAGGACCGGCUAAUUCCGUGCCAGCAGCCGCGGUAAUACGGAAGGUCCAAGCGUUAAUCGGAAUUACUGGGCGUAAAGCGCGCGUAGGUGGUUUAUUAAGUUGGGUGUGAAAUCCCCGGGCUCAACCUGGGAACUGCAUCCAAAACUGAUUCACUAGAGUACGAUAGAGGGAGGUAGAAUUCACAGUGUAGCGGUGGAAUGCGUAGAUAUUGUGAAGAAUACCAAUGGCGAAGGCAGCCUCCUGGAUCUGUACUGACACUGAGGUGCGAAAGCGUGGGUAGCGAACAGGAUUAGAUACCCUGGUAGUCCACGCCGUAAAC